GCAUACGACCUGAGGGCGAAAGUGGGGGACCGCAAGGCCUCAUGCUAUAGGAGCGGCCGAUGUCUGAUUAGCUAGUUGGUGGGGUAAAGGCCCACCAAGGCGACGAUCAGUAGCUGGUCUGAGAGGACGAUCAGCCACACUGGGACUGAGACACGGCCCAGACUCCUACGGGAGGCAGCAGUGGGGAAUUUUGGACAAUGGGCGAAAGCCUGAUCCAGCAAAGCCGCGUGUGUGAAGAAGGCCUUCGGGUUGUAA
rnacentral:rRNA from 1 species